rnacentral:ribozyme from 14 species
CAAACAGAAGGAAUGAAUCAAUCGAUUUGAUUUUCUCUCUCACACACGAAACAUUUCUCCCUGUCUUUUUUUUUCUUCUGAUUUUUUCUUCUUCUUCUUUUGCUGUGUCGUCCGAUAUUGAAUCGAUGACAUUCUAUUCUUCUAUAUAUAGGGAAAAAGUC